GAUCAUGGCUCAGGAUGAACGCUAGCUACAGGCUUAACACAUGCAAGUCGAGGGGCAGCAUGAACUUAGCUUGCUAAGUUUGAUGGCGACCGGCGCACGGGUGAGUAACACGUAUCCAACUGCCGAUGACUCGGGGAUAGCCUUUCGAAAGAAAGAUUAAUACCCGAUGGCAUAGUUCUUCCGCAUGGUGGAACUAUUAAGGAAUUUCGGUCAUCGAUGGGGAUGCGUUCCAUUAGG
rnacentral:rRNA from 1 species